rnacentral:rRNA from 1 species
CCUACGGGAGGCAGCAGUGGGGAAUAUUGCACAAUGGGGGGAACCCUGAUGCAGCGACGCCGCGUGGGUGAAGAAGUACCCCGGUGUGUAAAGCCCUGUCAGCAGGGAAGAAAAUGACGGUACCUGAACAAGAAGCCCCGGCUAACUACGUGCCAGCAGCCGCGGUAAUACGUAGGGGGCAAGCGUUAUCCGGAUUUACUGGGUGUAAAGGGGGCGUAGACGGCAAGGCAAGCCUGGAGUGAAAGCCCGGGGCCCAACCCCGGGACUGCUUUUGAAACUGUGUGGCUGGAGUGCAGGAGGGGUAAGCGGAAUUCCUGGUGUAGCGGUGAAAUGCGUAGAUAUCAGGAGGAACACCGGUGGCGAAGGCGGCCUACUGGACUGCAACUGACGUUGAGGCCCGAAAGCGUGGGGAGCAAACAGGAUUAGAUACCCGAGUAGUC